CCUACGGGGGGCUGCAGUGGGGAAUAUUGGACAAUGGGGGGAACCCUGAUCCAGCCAUGCCGCGUGUGUGAAGAAGGCCCUCGGGUUGUAAAGCACUUUCAGUGAGGAAGAACGCCUGCUGGUUAAUACCCAUCAGGAAAGACAUCACUCACAGAAGAAGCACCGGCUAACUCCGUGCCAGCAGCCGCGGUAAUACGGAGGGUGCGAGCGUUAAUCGGAAUUACUGGGCGUAAAGCGCGCGUAGGUGGCUUGAUAAGCCGGUUGUGAAAGCCCCGGGCUCAACCUGGGAACGGCAUCCGGAACUGUCAAGCUAGAGUGCAGGAGAGGAAGGUAGAAUUCCCGGUGUAGCGGUGAAAUGCGUAGAGAUCGGGAGGAAUACCAGUGGCGAAGGCGGCCUUCUGGACUGACACUGACACUGAGGUGCGAAAGCGUGGGUAGCAAACAGGAUUAGAUACCCUGGUAGUC
rnacentral:rRNA from 1 species